GGGGGGGUCUGUGCCAGAGGAGGGGGGGUUGCACAUGAGGAGCGGGGGGAGGGGUCUGUGUCAGAGGAGUGGGGGAGGGUCUGUGCCAGAGGAACGGGGGGUGGGGGGGUUGCACCUGAGGAGCGGGGGAGGGUCUGUGUCAGUGGAGCAGGGGGAUCUAGGGAAUCACACCCUGGGGUCUGCUCUUGUGGAAGGUGUUUAGCUGGAGCUUUAUGCCCCACGCCCGCCUAUCUGCGCCCGUUCUCUGGGCUCAUCGCUUUGUGUGCCUUUAAAUCCUCUUUGGCCACGUACUGUGUCAUUUUCACAGUACACCAGGUACUCUAAGUCACCAUUGUCAGGGAGAGGAGCGCCCUGAGAACUGUUCUCUGGGGAGGGGGCAGUUCCCCAAAGCCCAGGGUAGGGCCCCAGGGGAGUGCUGUCCCAGGCUAGGCUGUUCUCAGAGUCCCGCCGGACGGCCAGCGAUGAGAAAGCAGGGACUGUUGACGUGCUGCUGGCCCGUGGCCCUCCUGACCCUGGAUGCGAUGAACUGAGGGGCAAUAACACAUCAGCAUGAGGGGAACCUCCCACUGCUCCAUGUCACAAGGUAGCACCUGACUCCACAGGCACCGGCUGCUUCCUUGCCUAGGGGGUGCUCAAACCCUGCUCUGCACUAGGCCCCGCCCCCACUCCACCCCUUCCCCUGCCCCAUUUCUUCCCACCCAUUUCUUCCCCCUCUCCCCGCUCCUCCCACUCCCCUGCGGCUCCUGCAUGCCGCGGAACAGCUGAUUGCAGCGGGCGGGAGGCACUGGGAGGGAGGGGAAGGAGUUGAUCGGUGGGGCAGCAGGAGGGCAUGAGGUGCUGGGAGGGGGAGGAGCUGGCUGCUGGUGGGUGCUAAGCACCCACUAAUUUUUCCCCAUGGGUGCUCCAGCCCUGAAGCACCCAUGGAGUCAGCGCCUAUGCCUGACUCACCUGCUGGUGCCUGUAGCUGCACCCAAGUCCAGGAGCCAGGAGUCCAGGAAUCUGAGGUCCUGCAAGUCCCAGUUUCUAAAAGGGGGCAGCCCGCGCGGCCAGCCCAAGGCACAGCCCUGCCAAUGUGUUGAUCAAUAUGCAGGUGUGCUCAGAUGGGGCCCCGUCUGCCUUGCUGUGCUUGGUCGCCUGGGACUGGGCCUUGCAGCCGCUUGGUACAGCCAGUGUGAGCACAGUGGGCUCAAGGCUUGGUGGGGGCCCAGAUGCUGCAUGGUGCAGUGGGCAAGCCGGGCAGGGCACAUGGAAGCAGAAUGCCAGCCCUAGGCCACAGGCCCUGAUUGUUAUGGAGGGGCUCUGUUCUCACUUCUCCCUGCUGAGGGCUGGUGUCGUCAUUCUGCCAUCGGACGGUGGGAACAAUCUGCAGCGAGCUCAGGCUCUCACACACUGCACAGGUAGGCUGCCAAGCGUGACUUGCUCUAAGCUGGUGAGGAGUGAAUGGCCUGCCAGGCUGGCCAAUGAGAAAUGAAACCACCCUGCUUUCAGGUCUGACCAACACCCCAAGUUCUCAUGUGAGUGUCAGACACACGACACCUGCCUCCUUCAGGGUCGCAUGUGGCAGCUGCCCUCUUGGCUGACACCAGCGAUCAACCAGGGAUCUCCAUAGCUGAGGGCCUGAGCUAGACUUUGCACUGGGAGUUGCAACAGACUCCCAGCCUCUGGAGACCGGGCACAGCUGGGGACGCCUGACACACCCUGACAAGUGGUUUACACCGAAGCUUGCUAGGCGGCUGGAUGGGCCUGACCCUAGCUUGGCCAAACAAGGUGCUGUGGAGCAGCACAAUAAGCUCCCAUCCCCCCCAGAGGAUAAGCAUGUUGACACUGCAUCCAUCUGAGACCCCACAUCAGGUCUGGGGACCUCAAAAGGCGCCAAUCCCUGAUCUCCCUGUGGCCCGACAGAGCAAGACCCAGUCACUGAGCUGGCCCAACACCCACUGAUGCUCAUGAGUAACCCACUCAAAAGACCUGCCAGCAGCAUCUUGAAGAUGUCAGGGACAAUGUUGCGUGCUCUGCUACUGCACAGAGUACAAGUUACCUGCCCACCCCACACUCUGAGCUGUCUUGUCCCAGUGGCAUAGGUAGUGUGUGCUAACGAAUGGAGCGUAGACCUCAGAGCCAGGAACAGCUCAGUUCUAACCCACCACUGAUGCUGACUCCCUGUAGCCCUAGCAAAGUCACGUAGCCUCACUGCUUCAGUGUCUCUCAGUAUAACAAGGGACUAAUGCCCAUCUCAGGGGGGUGGGGGAGAGUUUCAUUAGUGUCUGCAAAGGGCUUUUUAAGUGCUGGAGAUGCUGAUUUAUAAACAGAAGCCAAGUCACGUUCCCCUGGAACUACCCAGUGGAGGCGCCAUCCUGCCAGGCAGGAAGGGAAGGACAUUGUGGAGAAUACACUGAAAGUGUGAAGCUACAAGCAAACACCGCAGCCAUUCUCAGCUCUGUCCUCUGUGACGGUAAAACAUGUUUGCACCAUGUACAACAUCACCCACCGUGUCACUAAUAAAGCUCACCAAACGCUG